AGCAGGCCAACCCUCCAGAAGCUAUUUGUCACAAGCCAGCGUUUCACAGUACCAUGACCUCCAAGUGUGCUCGCUUGGAAUUGGGUGCUCGGAGCCAGCUGUGAUUGGAAAGCUGCAAAAGGAAGAGGGGUGUGAUCAAGCAUUUGUGAGGUCAAAGGUUACUGAUGUUGGACAAGAGGAUCUGGGUCACUGUCUCGAUUCCAGUUCACCCUCAAGGUGUCUGAAGAGAAGUCUGUUGCUGAUCGUAAACAACAAAUCAAGAUUACAAAUCUUCCAGCAUCUGUGGACUGACUCGCAAUAUUGAAUAUGCGACAACAAAAAGAUUAUACUUCCCUUGUUCAUUUUUGUCUGGAUCCUGAGGGUAAAGUGAAAAGCAUC